rnacentral:rRNA from 1 species
GAUGAACGCUGGCGGCGUGCUUAACACAUGCAAGUCGAACGGAGUUACUUUGACAGAUCCCUUCGGGGUGACGUUGAUUUAACUUAGUGGCGGACGGGUGAGUAACGCGUGAGCAACCUGCCUCAAAGAGGGGGACAACAGCUGGAAACGGCUGCUAAUACCGCAUAACGUAUUGUUUCGCAUGAUUACAAUACCAAAAGGAGCAAAUCCGCUUUGAGAUGGGCUCGCGUCUGAUUAGCUAGUUGGUGGGGUAACGGCUCACCAAGGCGACGAUCAGUAGCCGGACUGAGAGGUUGAACGGCCACAUUGGGACUGAGAUACGGCCCAGACUCCUACGGGAGGCAGCAGUGGGGAAUAUUGCACAAUGGGGGAAACCCUGAUGCAGCAACGCCGCGUGAAGGAUGACGGUCUUCGGAUUGUAAACUUNUUUCUUAAGGACGAUAGUGACGGUACUUAAGGAAUAAGCCACGGCUAACUAACGUG